GGUAAAAUGGCUGAGCACAGGCGGUAAGCUGUAAACUUAUUUACGAAUUUAAUUCUUUUACC
rnacentral:tRNA from 1 species